rnacentral:rRNA from 1 species
AUCUCGGUGCUUGCACCGGGUGAUCAGUGGCGAACGGGUGAGUAACACGUGAGCAACCUGCCCCCGACCCUGGGAUAACCCCGAGAAAUCGGAGCUAAUACCGGAUACGAGACGCACAGGCAUCUGUAGCGUCUGGAAAGAUUCAUCGGUCAGGGAUGGGCUCGCGGCCUAUCAGCUAGUUGGUGAGGUAGUGGCUCACCAAGGCGACGACGGGUAGCCGGCCUGAGAGGGCGACCGGCCACACUGGGACUGAGACACGGCCCAGACUCCUACGGGAGGCAGCAGUGGGGAAUAUUGCACAAUGGGCGCAAGCCUGAUGCAGCGACGCCGCGUGGGGGAUGAAGGCCUUCGGGUUGUAAACCCCUUUCAGCAGGGAAGAAGCGAAAGUGACGGUACCUGCAGAAGAAGCGCCGGCUAACUACGUGCCAGCAGCCGCGGUAAUACGUAGGGCGCAAGCGUUGUCCGGAUUUAUUGGGCGUAAAGAGCUCGUAGGCGGUUUGUCGCGUCUGCUGUGAAAACCCGAGGCUCAACCUCGGGCCUGCAGUGGGUACGGGCAGACUAGAGUGCGGUAGGGGAGACUGGAAUUCCUGGUGUAGCGGUGGAAUGCGCAGAUAUCAGGAGGAACACCGAUGGCGAAGGCAGGUCUCUGGGCCGCAACUGACGCUGAGGAGCGAAAGCAUGGGGAGCGAACAGGAUUAGAUACCCUGGUAGUCCAUGCCGUANACGUUGGGCACUAGGUGUGGGGCUCAUUCCANGAGUUCCGUGCCGCAGCAAACGCAUUAAGUGCCCCG